CGGUCCGGAACGCUGGGUUCAUUCACUGUUGUGGGAACCCAAGGAUGAGAGGAAGGUCCCCAGGGGAGGCAGCCAAGGCUCCUCAUGGAAGCCCAUCAGGAGAUGAGACUAGAGCAGAUGGGGGGCUCUGGGGCUGUCAAGCAGGGCUGAAAUUCCUUAUAAGAUCAAACUCCUUCUUUGAAGCCAGUUAUGCUGCGAAGAACCAGAGUGUGUGUACAGACGGGCCCAGUUAUCACCCUGAUGACCACCAACCUCAGGCUCUGCUCAAAGUUUCAGGAAAUGCAGAGAAUAAAGGAACAACUGAAGUGACAUCACAAGGAAACAGUCAACAUAUGUCUAAACAGACAGGACAGUCAUCAAGACACUGGUCUGGCUACUUCAAAUCAAUGUCAGUAGAAACACAAAAAUAACAAACAAAUAGACCAAUAUUUCUUCUAGAUUAAAGACACUUAAGACACAUAACAACCAAAUGGAAUUCUUGGUCCUCUGUUGGAUUCUGGUCUGAACAAUCCAUCUAAAGAAGUCAUUUGGGGGAGAGUGAAAGAAAUUUGAGUAAAGACAAGGUAUUUGUUCAUUUUCUUAAAUAUUGUUGGCUAUUCAGGAAAAUAUGUUUUGAAGAGAUACCUAUUGAAGGAUGAAAAUAUUUUAUUAGCUUUUUUGAUUUUGUUACUUUAAAAUACCUAAGCAGAAAAAAAAUAGAUGAAACAAAUAUGGCAAAAUGUCAAAAGUAUUCAGUCUGAGUGAUGAACAUCACUCUAUUUUUCUGUAUAUUUGAAGUUCUUUAAUAAAAUUUUUUUAAAUGA